GACGAACGCUGGCGGCGUGCUUAACACAUGCAAGUCGAACGGAAAGGCCCUGCUUUUGUGGGGUGCUCGAGUGGCGAACGGGUGAGUAACACGUGAGCAACCUGCCCUUGACUUUGGGAUAACUUCAGGAAACUGGGGCUAAUACCGGAUAGGAGCUCCUGCUGCAUGGUGGGGGUUGGAAAGUUUCGGCGGUUGGGGAUGGACUCGCGGCUUAUCAGCUUGUUGGUGGGGUAGUGGCUUACCAAGGCUUUGACGGGUAGCCGGCCUGAGAGGGUGACCGGCCACAUUGGGACUGAGAUACGGCCCAGACUCCUACGGGAGGCAGCAGUGGGGAAUAUUGCACAAUGGGCGGAAGCCUGAUGCAGCAACGCCGCGUGCGGGAUGACGGCCUUCGGGUUGUAAACCGCUUUCGCCUGUGACGAAGCGUGAGUGACGGUAAUGGGUAAAGAAGCACCGGCUAACUACGUGCCAGCAGCCGCGGUGAUACGUAGGGUGCGAGCGUUGUCCGGAUUUAUUGGGCGUAAAGGGCUCGUAGGUGGUUGAUCGCGUCGGAAGUGUAAUCUUGGGGCUUAACCCUGAGCGUGCUUUCGAUACGGGUUGACUUGAGGAAGGUAGGGGAGAAUGGAAUUCCUGGUGGAGCGGUGGAAUGCGCAGAUAUCAGGAGGAACACCAGUGGCGAAGGCGGUUCUCUGGGCCUUUCCUGACGCUGAGGAGCGAAAGCGUGGGGAGCGAACAGGCUUAGAUACCCUGGUAGUCCACGCUGUAAACGGUGGGUACUAGGUGUGGGGUCCAUUCCACGGGUUCCGUGCCGUAGCUAACGCUUUAAGUACCCCGCCUGGGGAGUACGGCCGCAAGGCUAAAGCUCAAAGGAAUUGACGGGGCCCCGCACAAGCGGCGGAGCAUGCGGAUUAAUUCGAUGCAACGCGUAGAACCUUACCUGGGUUUGACAUGGAUCGGGAGCGCUCAGAGAUGGGUGUGCCUCUUUUGGGGUCGGUUCACAGGUGGUGCAUGGCUGUCGUCAGCUCGUGUCGUGAGAUGUUGGGUUAAGUCCCGCAACGAGCGCAACCCUUGUUCACUGUUGCCAGCACGUUAUGGUGGGGACUCAGUGGAGACCGCCGGGGUCAACUCGGAGGAAGGUGGGGAUGGCGUCAAGUCAUCAUGCCCCUUAUGUCCAGGGCUUCACGCAUGCUACAAUGGCUGGUACAGAGAGUGGCGAGCCUGUGAGGGUGAGCGAAUCUCGGAAAGCCGGUCUCAGUUCGGAUUGGGGUCUGCAACUCGACCUCAUGAAGUCGGAGUCGCUAGUAAUCGCAGAUCAGCAACGCUGCGGUGAAUACGUUCCCGGGGCU
rnacentral:rRNA from 1 species